rnacentral:rRNA from 1 species
UACGGAGGGUGCAAGCGUUAUCCGGAUUCACUGGGUUUAAAGGGUGCGUAGGCGGGUAAGUAAGUCCGUGGUGAAAUCUCUGAGCUUAACUCAGAAACUGCCGUGGACACUAUUUGCCUUGAAUAUUGUGGAGGUGAGCGGAAUAUGUCAUGUAGCGGUGAAAUGCUUAGAUAUGACAUAGAACACCAAUUGCGAAGGCAGCUCACUACACAAUCAUUGACGCUGAGGCACGAAAGCGUGGGGAUCAAACAGG